rnacentral:rRNA from 1 species
GUAAGGAAUAUUGGACAAUGCCCGCAAGGGUGAUCCAGCCAUGCCGCGUGCAGGAAGACGGCCCUAUGGGUUGUAAACUGCUUUUGUACGGGAGAAAACCCUUCUACGUGUAGGAGGCUGAUAGUACCGUAAGAAUAAGCAUCGGCUAACUUCGUGCCAGCAGCCGCGGUAAGACGAAGGAUGCGAGCGUUAUCCGGAUUCAUUGGGUUUAAAGGGAGCGUAGGUGGUCUUAUAAGUCAGUGGUGAAAUCCUGUCGCUUAACGAUAGAAUUGCCAUUGAUACUGUAGGACUUGAGUACAGUUGCCGUUGGCGGAAUAUGACAUGUAGUGGUGAAAUACAUAGAUAUGUCAUAGAACACCGAUUGCGAAGGCAGCUGACGAAACUGUAACUGACACUGAGGCUCGAAAGUGUGGGGAUCAAACAGGAUUAGAAACCCUAGUAGUCC